UUAUGAUAGGUAUGGUGGAUGGAAGCUUGGAUGGGAGGAAGGAGUCAUUGACAAGUGUACUCUAUCAACAAAACUGGCCGCUACAAGUGCAAAAAGCUGAAUGAAAAAUGGAAAGGUUACUGCUGAAAUAUUUACAGAUGGAAGGAUAUGAUGUCUAGAAUUUGUUUCAAACAAGACGAGGUCUUACUACCAUAGCCCAGGCUGGGCUCAACUGAUCCUCCUGCCUCAGCCUCCCAAAGUGCUGGGAUUACAG